rnacentral:rRNA from 1 species
ACCACCUACGGGACGCAGCAGUGGAGAAUAUUGCUCAAUGGGGGAAACCCUGAUGCAGCGACGCCGCGUGAAGGAAGAAGUAUUUCGGUAUGUAAACUUCUAUCAGCAGGGAAGAAAAUGACGGUACCUGACUAAGAAGCCCCGGCUAACUACGUGCCAGCAGCCGCGGUAAUACGUAGGGGGCAAGCGCUAUCCGGAUUUACUGGGUGUAAACGGAGCGCAGGCGGUGCAGCA